AUUUAUUAGUUUAAAAUAAAACCUUAUAUUUUCAAUAUAAAAAUAAAUAAAUCUUAUUUAUAAAUU
rnacentral:tRNA from 1 species